UACGUAGGGUGCAAGCGUUAUCCGGAAUUAUUGGGCGUAAAGAGCUCGUAGGCGGUCUGUCGCGUCGGCUGUGAAAACCCGGAGCUCAACUCCGGGCCUGCAGUCGAUACGGGCAGACUAGAGUGCGGUAGGGGAGAUUGGAAUUCCUGGUGUAGCGGUGGAAUGCGCAGAUAUCAGGAGGAACACCGAUGGCGAAGGCAGAUCUCUGGGCCGUAACUGACGCUGAGGAGCGAAAGCGUGGGGAGCGAACAGG
rnacentral:rRNA from 1 species